UAUCAUGCAGUCGAACGCUUCUUUCCUCCCGAGUGCUUGCACUCAAUUGGAAAGAGGAGGGAGGACGGGUGAGUAACACGUGGGUAACCUACCCAUCAGAGGGGGAUAACACCUUGGAAACAGGUGCUAAUACCGCAUAACAGUUUAUGCCGCAUGGCAUAAGAGUGAAAGGCGCUUUCGGGUGUCGCUGAUGGAUGGACCCGCGGUGCAUUAGCUAGUUGGUGAGGUAACGGCUCACCAAGGCCACGAUGCAUAGCCGACCUGAGAGGGUGAUCGGCCACACUGGGACUGAGACACGGCCCAGACUCCUACGGGAGGCAGCAGUAGGGAAUCUUCGGCAAUGGACGAAAGUCUGACCGAGCAACGCCGCGUGAGUGAAGAAGGUUUUCGGAUCGUAAAACUCUGUUGUUAGAGAAGAACAAGGACGUUAGUAACUGAACGUCCCCUGACGGUAUCUAACCAGAAAGCCACGGCUAACUACGUGCCAGCAGCCGCGGUAAUACGUAGGUGGCAAGCGUUGUCCGGAUUUAUUGGGCGUAAAGCGAGCGCAGGCGGUUUCUUAAGUCUGAUGUGAAAGCCCCCGGCUCAACCGGGGAGGGUCAUUGGAAACUGGGAGACUUGAGUGCAGAAGAGGAGAGUGGAAUUCCAUGUGUAGCGGUGAAAUGCGUAGAUAUA
rnacentral:rRNA from 1 species